UGGGGAAUAUUGCGCAAUGGGCGAAAGCCUGACGCAGCGACGCCGCGUGAGGGAAGAAGGCCUUCGGGUCGUAAACCUCUGUCUAGAGGGAAGAAACCAUUAGGGUCGAAUAGGCCCUUUUGCUGACGGUACCUCUGAAGGAAGCACCGGCUAACUCCGUGCCAGCAGCCGCGGUAAUACGGAGGGUGCGAGCGUUAAUCGGAAUCACUGGGCGUAAAGCGCACGUAGGCGGUGUCGUAAGUCGGAUGUGAAAGCCCUCGGCUCAACCGGGGAA
rnacentral:rRNA from 1 species